CAGAACCGGGCCCAGGAAGGGGUGGCCAUCUGUCGCGACCAGGUGGCGUUUAAAUGUUCACUGACAAUUUAGCUGUAUUGUAAGGAAGAUGACUCCCUUACCUAGUAUUCUUUCUUUUAUAAUUAUAACGUACUAUUGUUCCAGGUCUUGCAGGGCUCCUCCUCACCAAGAAAUGUGGUCGUAUGUGUAGAGAAAAGAAUGGUUAGUGUGAGCAAAUAAGGUCUACAGUUAAGGAGAACUAACGCAAAUGUGUGAAAGGUCUAGAGGCUCCUGAAGAGACAUGAGGUCUGUGGCAGGGAGUCCUCUUUUUCUUCCUGUUCUUGUUCUCUGGUCUCUUUUUCUUCCAGAGGCUCCUGAAGAAUGGUCUUGUUGGAGCAGAGCUGGGAUUUCAGGUGUCUGAUUUCCAUUUUGAGUGUCUCCUGGUCCUGGCUAUGUUUUUCUACUGCCUGUUCUUGGAGUUGAUUUUGACAUGCUAGGACCUGUUUCUGGAGCAUCUCUAUCUGCUCAUUUUGGUUCCUACACUGGUCCUCCAAUUCAGCCUCCAAAGCAAACUAUAAGUUUUAAUAAAUGUUUGUUUUAAAAAAAACCUAACCAAUGUAGAAGACGACUGUUUAGUGGAAAAGUAUUUGACAUUUGAGAGAUUCUCACACAUAAUAACUUCUUUUAAUCACGUAAACUAGGACAUUUGGAAAACUUUCAUGUUUAGUGAAAGAUAUUUAUUAACACUAUGCAAUGAGUAUUACUGAAUGUCUGUUGGCAGUGGAAUCUUGGUGGUUGCCAACGCAACAGAAUGUCAACUAAGUUUUCUUUUAAAUUCAGUUUCAUUGCUGAAACUUUCAUUGCUUUUUUGACACAUCUAUGCUCUUUGGAACGCUGAGGCCCUCCAUUGUCUGGUCUAGCAGCACUUUAGUAUGGGUGGCAUGCUUGUCUUUAGUGCAGCUUUGGAGAGCAUUACACUGGACUCUGAGCAAUACGAUGCAAGCAAACAGCCGGUGCUGCUCUUCCUUGGCUGUUGUUUCAGCACCUGGCUGUGAUCGGUCAAAUAUAUCUCUUGCCAAUAGUUCCAUAAUGUAAAGGGUUUCUUGUUUUUGUUGUCUUUCAACUAAUCUCAAAAGUCGCCUGACUUUCACUCACAAUUCUGAUGAGAAUAAGGUCCCUCAUAGGGACAACAUUUAUUAAAACUUUCGGGGCAGGGAGCAUGUCUUAUAUUGAUGCUGCUGAGAGUUACUUUAUUGACAGCUCUACAAACAUAGAUCUACGUCCUUGUUGCUUAAACUGGGCUCAACCUUAAAAAUUCCAUAAAAUUUAAGCAAUUUCUGGAGGAUCACAGUUUUGAAUACUCUCUGUGGAUUAUUGUGGCGCUCUACGUCAAAUUUAUCAGAACUGUCUCACUCACCUCUAGGCCAUGACAAAUAACGCAAGGAUAAUUAUUAUUAACAAGCGAAACCUGCCUCUGGCUCUUUUCCGGUGUGCCCCCUUUUUUUUUCCCACUUAUUUUUUUUCCAUUUUUUUAUUUAUUUUUCUAAUGUGUGACAUCGAGAAUAAUUUUAAUGAUCAUUUUAUGUACAUCUAUGGUAACUAAACUGGUUGCUAUAUGGGGCUUUUCUACUCUACUUGAGCAAUCAAAGCUCUGUGUAAAAAAAAAAAUAAAUAAAUAAAUAAAAAUAAAAAUAAAAAUCUCAUUCACCCAUUCAUUCGAGCACUAUUUCUAGUUUCUGUGUAACAUUCACAUACAUUCAUAAUCUGAUGGAUCAGAGAGCAACCUGGUGUUCAGUGUCUUUCUCAAGGGUACAUUGGCAGGCAGACUGGAGCAGCCAGGA